UUGGGUGCGCGUGCUAUAAUGCAGUCGAGCGGACUGAUGGGAGCUUGCUCCCAUCAGUCAGCGGCGGACGGGUGAGUAACACGUGGGUAACCUGCCUGUAAGACUGGGAUAACUCCGGGAAACCGGGGCUAAUACCGGAUAACUCAUUUCCUCGCAUGAGGAAAUGUUGAAAGAUGGCUUCUUGCUAUCACUUACAGAUGGACCCGCGGCGCAUUAGCUAGUUGGUGAGGUAACGGCUCACCAAGGCGACAAUGCGUAGCCGACCUGAAAGGGUGAUCGGCCACACUGGGACUGAAACACGGCCCAAACUCCUACGGGAGGCAGCAGUAGGGAAUCUUCCGCAAUGGACGAAAGUCUGACGGAGCAACGCCGCGUGAGUGAUGAAGGUUUUCGGAUCGUAAAACUCUGUUGUUAGGGAAAAACAAGUACCGUUCGAAUAGGGCGGUACCUUGACGGUACCUAACCAGAAAGCCACGGCUAACUACGUGCCAGCAGCCGCGGUAAUACGUAGGUGGCAAGCGUUGUCCGGAAUUAUUGGGCGUAAAGCGCGCGCAGGUGGUUUCUUAAGUCUGAUGUGAAAGCCCACGGCUCAACCGUGGAGGGUCAUUGGAAACUGGGGAACUUGAGUGCAGAAAAGGAAAGUGGAAUUCCAAGUGUAGCGGUGAAAUGCGUAGAUAUUUGGAGGAACACCAGUGGCGAAGGCGACUUUCUGGUCUGUAACUGACACUGAGGCGCGAAAGCGUGGGGAGCAAACAGGAUUAGAUACCCUGGUAGUCCACGCCGUAAACGAUGAGUGCUAAGUGUUAGAGGGUUUCCGCCCUUUAGUGCUGCAGCUAACGCAUUAAGCACUCCGCCUGGGGAGUACGGUCGCAAGACUGAAACUCAAAGGAAUUGACGGGGGCCCGCACAAGCGGUGAGCAUGUGUUUAAUUCGAAGCACGCGAAGAACUUACAGGUCUGACAUCCUCUGACACCCUAGAGAUAGGGCUUUCCCUUCGGGGAAAGAGUGACAGGUGGUGCAUGAUGUCGUC
rnacentral:rRNA from 1 species